rnacentral:lncRNA from 1 species
AAGUACUACUGCAUGGUUAAUAAGAUAGUAUAUCCUAUCUUCUAAGGGAAAAAGCUAUAUGACCCAAACCAGUUACUAAACUGGUUAUCAAUCUCACAGGGAACUUGGUAUAAUGACUGGCCCAACCCAGUAGGAAUCACACCAAUCACCUCAUUGCCAAAGCUGGGCCAUGAAGCAAGGCUUGUCUUCAGAUGUACAAACAACUUGCCUAGAAGAUGGCCCAGCCAAAAGCCGAAACUUUUGUCUGAUCAACAUAUUGUUUAUGGAA